GACGAACGCUGGCGGCGUGCCUAAUACAUGCAAGUUGAGCGCUGAAGGUUGGUACUUGUACCAACUGGAUGAGCAGCGAACGGGUGAGUAACGCGUGGGGAAUCUUCCUUUGAGCGGGGGACAACAUUUGGAAACGAAUGCUAAUACCGCAUAAAAACUUUAAACACAAGUUUUAAGUUUGAAAGAUGCAAUUGCAUCACUCAAAGAUGAUCCCGCGUUGUAUUAGCUAGUUGGUGAGGUAAAGGCUCACCAAGGCGAUGAUACAUAGCCGACCUGAGAGGGUGAUCGGCCACAUUGGGACUGAGACACGGCCCAAACUCCUACGGGAGGCAGCAGUAGGGAAUCAUCGGCAAUGGACGAAAGUCUGACCGAGCAACGCCGCGUGAGUGAAGAAGGUUUUCGGAUCGUAAAACUCUGUUGGUAGAGAAGAACGUUGGUGAGAGUGGAAAGCUCAUCAAGUGACGGUAACUACCCAGAAAGGGACGGCUAACUACGUG
rnacentral:rRNA from 1 species